UACAGAGGUGGCAAGUGUUGUUCGGAUUUACUGGGCGUAAAGGGUCCGCAGGCGGUCCUGUGUGUCGGAUGUGAAAGCUCACGGCUUAACCGUGGAAAUGCAUUCGAAACUACAGGACUAGAGUAUCGGAGGGGAGUGGGGAAUUCAGGGUGUAGCGGUGAAAUGCGUAGAUAUCCUGAAGAACACCGGAGGCGAAGGCGCCACUCUGGACGAAUACUGACGCUCAUGGACGAAAGCUAGGGGAGCGAAGAGG
rnacentral:rRNA from 1 species